UACGUAGGGUGCGAGCGUUGUCCGGAAUUACUGGGCGUAAAGAGCUCGUAGGUGGUUUGUCGCGUUGUCCGUGAAAACUCACAACUCAAUUGUGGGCGUGCGGGCGAUACGGGCAGACUGGAGUACUGCAGGGGAGACUGGAAUUCCUGGUGUAGCGGUGGAAUGCGCAGAUAUCAGGAGGAACACCGGUGGCGAAGGCGGUUCUCUGGGCAUGUUCUGACGCUGAGGAGCGAAAGUGUGGGGAGCGAACAGG
rnacentral:rRNA from 1 species